rnacentral:rRNA from 1 species
AGUGAACGCUGGCGGUAGGCCUAACACAUGCAAGUCGAACGGCAGCACAGUAAGAGCUUGCUCUUCCGGGUGGCGAGUGGCGGACGGGUGAGGAAUACAUCGGAAUCUACUUUUUCGUGGGGGCUAACGUAGGGAAACUUACGCUAAUACCGCAUACGACCUACGGGUGAAAGCAGGGGAUCUUCGGACCUUGCGCGAUUGAAUGAGCCGAUGUCGGAUUAGCUAGUUGGCGGGGUAAAGGCCCACCAAGCCGACGAACCGUAGCUGGUGUGGGAGGAUGAUCAGCCACACUGGAAGGGAGACACGGUCCAGACUCCUGAGGGAGGCAGCAGUGGGGAAUAUUGGACAGUGGGCGCAAGCCUUAUCCAGCCAUACCGCGUGGGUGAAGAAGGCCUUCGGGUUGUAAAGCCCUUUUGUUGGGAAAGAAAAGCAGCAGGUUAAGACCCCGCUGUUCUGACGGUACCCAAAGAAUAAGCACCGGCUAACUUCGUG